rnacentral:tRNA from 1 species
GCCUUCGUGGCGUAGUGGUCAGCAAGCUCGACGUGUAUUCGAGAGGUCCGUGGUUCGAGUCCACGUGAGGGCA